ACAAACCUGUCUCCUGUAAUUAGUCAAUGAAACUGAUCCCCCAGUACAAAAGCUGGCAUAAACCCAUAAGACGAGAAGACCCCGUGGAGCUUUAAACAUAAAACUAACGGCCCUGCCCACUCAUAGUAAAUACUUUUAAGUUGGGGCGACUACGGGGCAAAACAAAACCCCCACGAACCAGGGACCUUUGUCCCCCCAAAGGCCCACAAGCCAACACCAAAAAACUGACCCAGCACCCUACUGAUCAUCGAACCAAGUUACCCCGGGGAUAACAGCGCCAUCCUCUUCAAGAGUCCCUAUCGCCAAGAGGGCUUACGACCUCGAUGUUGGAUCAGGACCCCCCAAUGGUGCAGCCGCCAUUAAAGGUGCGUUU
rnacentral:rRNA from 1 species